GUAGGGGGCGAGCGUUGUCCGAAGUUACUGGGCGUAAAGCGCGCGUAGGCGGGCUGAUAAGUCGGAAGUGAAAGGCUGGGGCUCAACCUCAUGCAGUGCUCCCGAUACUGUCAUGUCUUGAGUGGGGUAGAGAGAAGUGGAAUGGCUGGUGUAGCGGUGAAAUGCGUAGAUAUCGUAAGGAAGACCAGUGGCGAAGGCGGGUCUCUGGACAGUUCCUGACGCUGAGGCACGAAGGCCAGGGGGGCAAACGGGAUUAGAUACCCCGGUAGUCCUGGCAGUAAACGGUGCACGUUUGGUGUGGGAGGAUUCGACCCCUUCUGCGCCGGAGCUAACGCGUUAAACGUGCCGCCUGGGGAGUACGGUCGCAAGAUUA
rnacentral:rRNA from 1 species